rnacentral:tRNA from 1 species
GACAAGGUGGCCGAGUGGUUAAGGCGAUGGACUGCUAAUCCAUUGGGCUCUGCCCGCAUGGGUUCGAAUCCCAUCUUUGUCG